GCAUCCGUAGCUCAGUGGAUCAGAGCGUUCCCCUCCGAAGGGAAAGGCCGCUGGUUCGAUUCCAGCCGGGUGCACCA
rnacentral:tRNA from 1 species